rnacentral:lncRNA from 1 species
GCAGCCUGAGAAAUGGAUAUGGUGCUAUGCUAUUUUCGCUAUUUCAUGCAUAUUCAGGAAGUGGGUUUUUUUUUUUAUUUUUAUGUUAACAAAGGAAACUGGAUGUUCUCCUAAAACAGCCACCUAGCCAAGCUGAACCAACAGAGAUGUAUUGAUCACCGGGUCAAUGGAACUAGGAACCUGACAAGACUGACUAGCCAUCUCUAGCAUUCAGAUAGGUGGAACUUCAUUGUGCUGAAGUUAUGUUUGAGCACCCUCUGCUGGACAAAUCAGAUGCUCUAUGACUACCAACAAUGUACCAGUGGUAUUCGUCUCUUGCAGAUCUGGAAGAAAAUGAAAUUUAGGUACAUACAGUCACGAACAGAUACCUAGAUGACACAUUUAAAACCCUCAAACACAGUGGAGAUGAGACCAGCAUAAUAUUAAGCUCUUCUCCCUCACAAACACCUGUGCUACCCACACUCACAGGCAAAAAAAAUAUACACAACUGCCAGACUGCAAUGCCUCCCAAUUUAUUGGCCAAAUCUAGAUUCUGCUAGCCCUGUAUAUUCACUCAGAAAGCCAGGCUUCAGACACACCAUGAGUGAUGAGAAAUCCAUUUCAUCAGCAGAGGCAUCUUGCCUAUCUUCAGGAAGCCUACAGACUUCCAGGGAAGCAGGGGGGAAAUCAAGACGUGUCUGACUAUGAGCUGGGGUAAGGGAAGCCUCCGUGUGAAGAUGUGACCUAGUUAGGACAGCUGCCGGAAAGCAGGACUGGCAAGCUUGGUGGUUUGUACACCGGGCCUUGGGAGACUUGGGACACAAACACGAGGUCUUCUGAGGAUGUUUGUGAGUUGCUGGGUUACACAAAAAGAUUCUAGCUCAACAAGCAAAGAAGCGAAGGGGAGGGAAGGGGAGGAAAGGGAGGAGAAGAAAGGAAGUGGGAAGAGAAAAUGGGGCCAAGAAAAGCCCCAAACAUCCCAUAAGCACCCAGAACAGUGUCCCCACCGCGAACCAACCGGGAACCAAAGUGUUCACACCAGAUGAGCUCGUGGAAGGGCUUUUUGCCAAUUGUUCAUGGGUCCCCAGUGAUGAUGGAAUAUUGCGACUUACGUUUCAACCGUUUAAAAAUUUACUGUUAUUAUUUAUGCAUUUCAGUGUUUUGUCUGUUACACGCUCUGUAACUCCAGUUGCAGAAAAUGUAAAACUUUUCUGCCCCCUCCCCCUCCGGCAACCGGGCACAGACAUUUACGGGAGGCUGUGGCUACUUUAGGAGGUAGAGCCUAAAUGGAGAAACUGGGUUGUUGGGACAAUAGACAUUGAGGUUUACAGCCCAACCCCACUGCCUGCCCCUCUCUCCCUUUUCCACCAAGAUGUGAGCGAGCAGUCUCCUUCCUGCUGCUGCAGCUGCAAGCUGCUCCUGCCGCCCAUGCCUUCUCUACUGCCAUGCCUUCCCUACCACAAGGGCCAGAACUCUCACACUGAAAGCCAGAAUAAAUCCUUCCUCUCUUCGGUU